GUUUACGGUGAUUCCCACAGGUAGGAAACUCGGCAGUGCUGGUGGAUAUAGGAUUCCCCACAAAUUUAGUAUGCAGGAACGGCCCGAGCGAAAUUCGUGCAGAAGGUGGCGUUCAUGGAUCUACUCCCGGUUGAUAAGGCGCGGAAUUACCCAUGUCUGGUCAAGGACAAGUUCCGUACACUAGUCAACAAGCAGGAAGGGAAGGAGGUGGGGAUUGAAACUAUGGAGCGUACAAGUUUCUACGAACGAUGUAAAACAGCAUAUGCCAUCGUACACACGGGGGAGACAACGCUAUACGGCCAUAUUAUCCUGAAGAAGGGGAUUGUGUAAUUACAUUAAACUUUCUUCUAAACACUUGUUUAUACACAAGUUUCUGAUUUAAU